rnacentral:rRNA from 1 species
CAGUCGCCACGGGAAUACGUAGGUGGCAAGCGUUGUCCGGAAUUAUUGGGCGUAAAGCGCGCGCAGGUGGUUUAAUAAGUCUGAUGUGAAAGCCCACGGCUCAACCGUGGAGGGUCAUUGGAAACUGUUAAACUUGAGUGCAGGAGAGAAAAGUGGAAUUCCUAGUGUAGCGGUGAAAUGCGUAGAGAUUAGGAGGAACACCAGUGGCGAAGGCGGCUCUCUGGCUUGUAACUGACGCUGAGGCUCGAAAGCGUGGGGAGCAAACAGGAUUAGAUACCCGUGUAGUCCCUGUCUCUUAUAC